rnacentral:rRNA from 1 species
GACGAACGCUGGCGGCGUGCUUAACACAUGCAAGUCGAACGGAAAGGCCUGCUUUUCCUUGUGGAUUGCGGGUACUCGAGUGGCGAACGGGUGAGUAACACGCGAGUGAUUUGCCCCCAACUUGGGUAUAAGCCCGGGAAACUGGGUCUAAUUCCCGAUAGGACUGCAGGGUGGUGUCUGUGGUGGAAAACGAUCUUUUAGUGGUUGGGGAUGAGCUCGCGGCCUAUCAGCUUGUUGGUGGGGUAAUGGCCCACCAAGGCGGCGACGGGUAGCCGGCCUGGGAGGGGGGACGGCGACAUUGAGACUGGGUUCAGGCCCAGACUCGUACGAGAGGCAGCGGUGGGGAAUAUAACACAGUGGGCGGGAGCUUGAUACGGCGACGGCGCGUGGAGGGUGACGGCAUUCGGGUUGUAUACUCCUUUCGACCGCGAGGAAGGCACCUGGUUAGAAGGGUGGUGACGGUAGUGAUAGAAAAAGCACCGGCUAACUACGUG